ensembl:lncRNA
GACAAGCUUCCUUGUAAUUCUUCAGCUUCAAGGGAAUCAAAAGGUCUUACCUCCUUGACUCCUUGUUUUAGAGAUUUGGUACUCAUUUCUUUGGCACCAGAUGGAGCAAAUUUGAAUAUAUAUGUAAGAAAUAUUCUGAGCCUCAGGCCUAGGAAGAAGGCCAACAGCAGCUCUGCAGCAGGAAUACCACCCUUUUCACAAGCCAUCGCCACUGCAGGAACUCUGGGGAAGGGGAAAAAAAAAAAGGCUGGCACAGAAAAACUCCGUGGAAGCAGCCAAGGCCUCGCCACAGUUGAUUUCAUUUCUGCCUGGCUCCGUCGCGCCGCCGAAGAGCUGGAUCUACCGGGAAGCGGUCAUCACGGCGAGGCCUUGGGGAUGUGCGAACCUUGGCGAGCAGUCGCGCAGUGGCGCGGGGGCCGCCCCCUACCCCUCAGGGACCGAGGACGCGCGGGAGAGGCGCCGCAGCGGACCCGGGAAGCCACCCGAUGCCGCGCCCCUCGUGGGCCGAGAAGGCUCAGAAUUCUCCGCGCGUCGCUA